GUUUACCUGUGUGUUGAUAGUAUUCAACACCAAGGACAGGUGUGUUUACAGGUGAUUACCUGUGUGUGUACUGUGUUUGGCAUGGUGUUCAGUAUCAAGGACAGAUGUGUUUACCU
rnacentral:pre_miRNA from 1 species